UUUAUUGGCUUCUUUAUUUUUUUCGAGGCUUUCCAUAGGGAGUAGUUGAAGUUCUCGUGUGCAGAGAAUGUCUCUAUGAACUUUGUGAAUUCGUUAUUGUUGUACUCUUUUAUUUUGUUUUUUAUUUCCUUUGCAAGUUUGUUUAGGUGUUUUUUGUUUUCUCGUGUUCUAUGUUUUUGCCAUUUUGCUUUCGCUUUUCUUUUUUCUCUAAUUUUUUCAAUUUUGUCCGGCGUGGGAGCUGUCCCGCUACACCCUGCGGCAAGUCAUAGGCGAGAGACUGACCCCCUCAGCGAUCGUAGAAGCGAUGCUGAGCGGGCCACAGGAAUAUAAGGCUGUCCGCCUCUUCUGCCAGCGAGUUAUGCUCGCAAAGGAGCGAGCAGAAAGGGAGAAAAAGAGAAACUCUCACCCUUGUAGGAUAACGCAAUGGAGGGGGAUGGCGGUCAGGCGGCCUAGAGCCGCUUUAUCGCCGCCACAACGGACCGCGACUAGAAGGG
rnacentral:misc_RNA from 1 species